CGGGGUGAGUAAUGUCUGGGAAACUGCCUGAUGGAGGGGGGUAACUACUGGAAACGGUAGCUAAUACCGCAUAACGUCGCAAGACCAAAGAGAGGGACCUUCGGGCCUCUUGCCAUCGGAUGUGCCCAGAUGGGAUUAGCUAGUAGGUGGGGUAACGGCUCACCUAGGCGACGAUCCCUAGCUGGUCUGAGAGGAUGACCAGCCACACUGGAACUGAGACACGGUCCAG
rnacentral:rRNA from 1 species